rnacentral:rRNA from 1 species
AUUGAACGCUGGCGGCAGGCCUAACACAUGCAAGUCGAACGGUAACAGGAAGAAGCUUGCUUCUUUGCUGCCGAGUGGCGGACGGGUGAGUAAUGUCUGGGAAACUGCCUGAUGGAGGGGGAUAACUACUGGAAACGGUAGCUAAUACCGCAUAACGUCGCAAGCCCAAAGAGGGGGACCUUCGGGCCUCUUGCCAUCGGAUGUGCCCAGAUGGGAUUAGCUAGUAGGUGGGGUAACGGCUCACCUAGGCGACGAUCCCUAGCUGGUCUGAGAGGAUGACCAGCCACACUGGAACUGAGACACGGUCCAGACUCCUACGGGAGGCAGCAGUGGGGAAUAUUGCGCAAUGGGCGCAAGCCUGAUGCAGCCAUGCCGCGUGUAUGAAGAAGGCCUUCGGGUUGUAAAGUACUUUCAGCGGGGAGGAAGGGAGUAAAGUUAAUACCUUUGCUAAUUGACGUUACCCGCAGAAGAAGCACCGGCUAACUCCGUG